rnacentral:lncRNA from 1 species
GUGAAAUGACCAAAAUGCCCCUAGGGCUAAAAUGACCUAAACAGAAUCAAAUUAACUCGACACUGACUCAGAUGCAAGUUUGAAAUGAAAUUAGCAAGGUUUACUGAUGGAAUGUAAAAAAAACAAUCUGAAAAGACUCAGAGACAGUCACAAGGAUGAAAAUGGGUCCCACUGCAGGAAAUGACCAAAAUACCCUUCUGUAUGACUUUUUGCAAAUUUUGAAAUAAACUGUGGAAAAA